AACGCACAUUGCGCCCGCCGGUAUCCCGGCGGGCAUGCCUGUCCGAGCGUCAUUGCAACCCUCAGGUCCUCGCGCCUGGUGUUGGGGCCCUGCGCGGCAGGCCCCGAAAGACAGCGGCGGGUGCGUCCCGGAACCGAACGCAGUAGUUACCUCUCGUUCCGGCCCCAGGGCGCGCUCCAGCCGUAAAACGCUCCAACUUUUCUCAAGUUGACCUCGGAUCAGGUAGGAAUACCCGCUGAACUUAA
rnacentral:misc_RNA from 1 species